rnacentral:rRNA from 1 species
UGAAUUGACGGGGCCCGCACAAGCGGAGGAACAUGUGGUUUAAUUCGAUGAUACGCGAGGAACCUUACCUGGGCUUAAAUGGGGAGUGACAGCUGUACGAAAGAUGGUUUUCUUCGGACACUCUUCAAGGUGCUGCAUGGUUGUCGUCAGCUCGUGCCGUGAGGUGUCGGGUUAAGUCCCAUAACGAGCGCAACCCUUACCGUUAGUUACCAUCAGGUUAAGCUGGGGACUCUAGCGGGACUGCCACCGUAAGGUGAGAGGAAGGUGGGGAUGACGUCAAAUCAGCACGGCCCUUAUGUCCAGGGCUACACACGUGUUACAAUGGCCGGUACAAAGGGCAGCUACUUCGCGAGAAGAUGCUAAUCUCGAAAGCCGGUCUCAGUUCGGAUCGAAGUCUGCAACCCGACUUCGUGAAGCUGGAUUCGCUAGUAAUCGCGCAUCAGCCAUGGCGCGGUGAAUACGUUCCCGGGCCUU